rnacentral:lncRNA from 7 species
UUAUGGCUAAGGUUAACUCGUUUUGUUCAUAUUUGAGUUCCAAUUAAAAUGUAAGCCUUCUAAUCAUUUUUGUUUUCAUGGAAAACUUCAUUACACAGAAAUUGAGGCCAAUUCUUCUCCCCCCAGAUCAUGGAUAUAAUUUGGAAUACUGUCCAAGACUAAGACAGUGCUCAUUCAAAACUAGUUUCAGAGAUAAAGAUAGAUCGUAGGCAUCCAGCGAGCCAUAUUCCAUAGCCCAUAGAUAGAGGGAAGCCAACGAAAGAUUCAGAAGCCAGAAGGUGAUCACUAAAAAAAAUCUGAGCAAUGACACGCAUAAACAGAUCAGAUGUCCAGAUCGGUCAGGUGAACGGUUAAACAAUUAACAGAAAUCUGUAGGUCAAGCAGGGACACCCGGCACCAGAUACCCUGCCUCAUAUCCAAGCUGCGGGCAGGGUGCGCACAUCUCUAGGGCUAGAACAUGGCAGUGUUUCAGAGACCUGAAUAAUAAACAAAAGCGUUAACAGAGGCGCGCCAGCGAGCCAAUUGCUACUGUGCCUGGCUUUCUCGGCAUUGUUAAUCGUCGACGUUGCCCAGGUCAACCGUUGAGCCUCCCCACUCGUCCAAUAAUCCAUCCCCACGAAGCUGCGGCGCCUCUAGCGAAUGGAC